GACGAACGCUGGCGGCGUGCUUAACACAUGCAAGUCGAACGGAAAGGCCCUGCUUUUGUGGGGUGCUCGAGUGGCGAACGGGUGAGUAACACGUGAGUAACCUGCCCUUGACUUUGGGAUAACUUCAGGAAACUGGGGCUAAUACCGGAUAGGAGCUCCUGCUGCAUGGUGGGGGUUGGAAAGUUUCGGCGGUUGGGGAUGGACUCGCGGCUUAUCAGCUUGUUGGUGGGGUAGUGGCUUACCAAGGCUUUGACGGGUAGCCGGCCUGAGAGGGUGACCGGCCACAAUGGGACUGAGAUACGGACCAGACUCCUACGGGAGGCAGCAGUGGGGAAUAUUGCGCAAUGGGCGGAAGCCUGAUGCAGCAACGCCGCGUGCGGGAUGCCGGCCUUCGGGUUGUAAACCGCUUUCGCCUGUGACGAAGCGUGAGUGACGGUAAUGGGUAAAGAAGCACCGGCUAACUACGUG
rnacentral:rRNA from 1 species